GAUGAACGCUGGCGGCGUGCCUAAUACAUGCAAGUCGAGCGAACGGACGAGAAGCUUGCUUCUCUGAUGUUAGCGGCGGACGGGUGAGUAACACGUGGAUAACCUACCUAUAAGACUGGGAUAACUUCGGGAAACCGGAGCUAAUACCGGAUAAUAUUUUGAACCGCAUGGUUCAAAAGUGAAAGACGGUCUUGCUGUCACUUAUAGAUGGAUCCGCGCUGCAUUAGCUAGUUGGUGAGGUAACGGCUUACCAAGGCAACGAUGCAUAGCCGACCUGAGAGGGUGAUCGGCCACACUGGAACUGAGACACGGUCCAGACUCCUACGGGAGGCAGCAGUAGGGAAUCUUCCGCAAUGGGCGAAAGCCUGACGGAGCAACGCCGCGUGAGUGAUGAAGGUCUUCGGAUCGUAAAACUCUGUUAUUAGGGAAGAACAUAUGUGUAAGUAACUGUGCACAUCUUGACGGUACCUAAUCAGAAAGCCACGGCUAACUACGU
rnacentral:rRNA from 1 species